rnacentral:rRNA from 1 species
CACGUAGGGUGCGAGCGUUGUCCGGAAUUAUUGGGCGUAAAGAGCUCGUAGGCGGUGUGUCGCGUCGAUCGUGAAAACUUUCAGCUUAACUGGGAGCUUGCGGUCGAUACGGGCAUCACUGGAGUUCGGCAGGGGAGACUGGAAUUCCUGGUGUAGCGGUGAAAUGCGUAGAUAUGGCGGAGGAACACCGAUGGCGAAGGCAAUCCCCUGGACCUGUACUGACGCUCUGCACAG